rnacentral:SRP_RNA from 1 species
GCCGGGUGCAGUGGCUUGUGCCUGUAGUCCCAGCUACUCAGGAGGCUGAGGCUGGAGGAUUGCUUGAGUCCAGGAGUUAUGGGCUGUAGUGCGCUAUGCCGAUUGGGUUGCCACACUAAGUUCGGCAUCAAUAUGGUGACUUCCUGGGAGCGGGGGACCACCAGGUUGCCUAAGGAGUGGUGAACUGGCCCAGGUCGGAAACAGAGCAGGUCAAAACUCCCGUGCUGAUCAGUAGUGGGAUCGUGCCUGUGAAUAGCCACUGCACUCCAGCCUGGGCAAUGUAGUGAGACCCUGUCUCU